UACAGAGGGUGCGAGCGUUAAUCGGAAUUACUGGGCGUAAAGGGCGCGUAGGUGGUUGAUUAAGUUGUCUGUGAAAUACCUGGGCUUAACCUGGGAAGGUCAGGCAAUACUGAUGAACUAGAGUACAAUAGAGGGUAGUGGAAUUUCCGGUGUAGCGGUGAAAUGCGUAGAUAUCGGAAGGAACACCAGUGGCGAAGGCGACUACCUGGGUUGAUACUGACACUGAGGCGCGAAAGCGUGGGGAGCAAACAGG
rnacentral:rRNA from 1 species